GAAGAAAUUCAAGUCACUUUAGUAUUCCUUAUUGUAGUUGGGUCUAGGCCAAAGUAUUUUGAAAACUACAAAUGCUUUUUAUCUAUUAUCUCUCGUUAUAUACAAACUUACUCUCGUUCAUUUGCUUGACGUUCGAUAUAUAUAAUUAUAUAAUUAUUAUUUAACGUCUUAUGUUUUUUGACUAUCUUUUAGUAAUUGAAGGUGAAAUGCACGCAUUGUCACUUUUUCAUCUUGUACAAACAAAAUGCAUUCCAAACAGCCACAUCAAAUAAAAGGAAGAAAUUUUUUGUAUCAAUUUUACCUGAUUUUCCGAGAGACUUUUCAGUUAUUUUUGUUGUCUCCGAAUUCCUGCCUGCAUAUACAAUAAAUUUGAAACGUAUCCAGUUUUACAGUCGCAGAAUAUAAAAGAUUUGAUAUCAAAUCUAUUCCGUUUGGUUGGAAUAUACUGUUUGAACGGUAACCUGCCUUUGUAUAAUAAUGAACUUUUAUUGAUGCCUAUGUUGCAAAAUGGAUUAAAAUUAUUUUGAAAUGAAAGGCAAGAAUUAUUAUAGAAUUUACUUAUUUUUACUAGCCUAUCACUAAUCUCACUGGAAUAAAGCAUUCGCAUGAGAAAUAUUUAUCUAUGUCUAUUUAUUAUACGUCCGAAGAUGUCAAUACGCAAAAAUUUAUCUUUUGUCCAACAUUCGGAGUAAUGCAAUUUUUUAACACACGAAAUUAAUGACCUAAUUGCAAAAACCAUUAAAUCUCACUCAGAGUUGCUGCUUGUUCAUAAGGUUUUAGAAAUGAACACAGAAUUUUUAUUUUGUGUUCGAUUUUUCGUUUCAACUGAUUUGUUUCUUCAACAAUUAAUAAUAUCAAUUCUUCGGAAAAGAAUAGUUCAAAGUAGUCUAAUGGAGUAGCAAAUUGAUUAAUACGUGUUUACAUUCCAGAGUUAUUUGAAUUAAAUUUAUGUACUUAUUUUUGUUUCUUGAUCACUAUUGUUAUCAUUAUUGUUACUUAAUGUGCGACGUUCUUUCUACAUAGUAGGUUAUCAACGUUAAUUUGACCACAAUUGGUGACUCCGACGUAAUCUUUGUGCAUCAAGAGUUCCUACAAAAGGAAAAACGUAUCGGCGUCAGCCAUCCUAUCUUGUAAUAAAAUUCGAGCUUCAUGUUCAGAACACUUGAAAAAGAAUCACAAACAUUGAACACCAUGUUAAGAGUCAACAGUACACAUACAGACUAAAAUACCUGACUGUCCUUAAGGCCCUUGAUCAAGACACGAUCGUGCUGAUUUUUGACGUGAUACAACAGGAUUCAGCGCGAACCUGAAUCCAAUCUCCACGAAUCAACAACAACGGCAAGUGAAACACAGAAGAUACAAACAACAAAGGAACUCAUCCUGAACAAAGGAAUCAAAAUAACAACGGACAAAUGACGCCACGGAAUAUUGCGACAGCUUCACCCAUCGCGUCAAUAACAGGAACAAUAGAAGGAAAUACUUCUGGUAUGUAGAACCUGUACAAUUAUAAUCAAUCACCAGGCUAUAACAAUAUAUUGCGUGACAAAUAUUAUUUGAUGAAUAAACUUAAAUUGGCGGCAUUCACCAAAAAUCGACCGGAUCUUUGAUUCAUCAUGGCUAAGACUGAAUCCACUAUUUUUGGAAUUGUUGAAGAUAAAGUAAAAUACCUGACGGCCCUGAUUUCAGACGUGAUAUAACAGGAGCCCGCUACAGACAAAAACAAAGAAACUUUUACGUGAGUCAACGCUUCCAAAUAGAACACCUUCUCAGCUCCUGCGACAAAUGCGCGAAUUGGCUGAUGGUUUCGCUGAUGAUACCAUAUUGCACCAAUUUUGGCUUGAACGAAUACAUAUUAUAAUACAACAUAUAUUAAACCCUAUCUGAUUACCACAAGUAAACUUCGACUUGAUGCUAUAGCUAAGUUUGCGGACCGUUUUUACGAGCUGAUGCCUUACGAUCAACAGAAUAACCGGGUUAUGUGUGGCAACCUUUACACGCAAUCUUGCAUCAUCGACUCUUUAAGACAUUGACUCAAAGCUCAUAGAAAUUCAAAAAAAAACCAACAACUGCAGGCUCGACAAUCUCCGAUGCAUCAUAAUCGCAACAGUCCAAGAUUAUCGACACCUAUUCGCAAUAAAAUCUCCUAUUAUCACCAAAGGUUUGGCAGCGAAGCAAAACGCUGUCUUUUACCUUGUAAAUUCGCUUCAAUGAGAAACUGACAACAACAAAUUAAGGAAACUAACGUCGCUGUCUUCAGUAAGAGCAGUGCAAGACAACAAUUCCAGACCAAAAGAGCUCCGACUACACUACCAAACAGAAAUUCUUGAUUGACUCUGGGUCCGUCGUGUCCAUAAUAUCUGCAAAAAAGUUUUGUAAAAAUAGAAAUACUGACUCAUACUUUAUGUUGCAAAUUCAUCACAAAUAUACGGCACUAAAAUCAUCAACCUUGAUUUAAAUCUCCGCAGAGAUUUCUGCUGGUCUUUUAUCAUCGCAGACGUGGAAAUAGCAAUCAUCGGAACUGAUUUCUUAAUUCAUUAAAACUUGUUGAUUGAUUUGAAAUAUCAACAAUUGAUAGAUCCAGUGUCUCAUCUCUCGUCAAAAGGAAAUGCAAUGGAAGCACAGUAUUACGACAUCUCAUCAAUAAGUUCAGAUUUUUCUACUGAGUAUGCUGAACUUUUAAAACAAUUCGUUGAGAUCACUUGGUCGAUUAGCAAGCCAUGCUUAAAUUUAACAGCACGUCCAUUUGCGCACAAAGUUAUUACGCAUGUCCACUAGUCACUGCACGAGCACGUAAACUAGCAGGUGAAAAGGCAGCGGCAACAAAAACUCAAAUCAGAGAACUUCUGAACUCCGGAAUCAUUAGAUCAUCCAGCAGAACGUACGCCAAUCCUAUUCAUAUGAUACGAGAGAAAGACAACAGCAGGAGAACGUGCGGUGAUUACCGUAAACUCAAUGAUGCUAUUGAUCCUGACAUAUAGUUCUCCGCUCAUUCUUUCCGUGUAUACACGAUAGAGAACAUUACAGCAAAAUUGAUUGCGAAAAAGCAUAUCUAUAAGUAUCUAUGCACGUGGACAAUAUUGAAAAACUGCCAUCAUAACACCUUGGGUUCAAUACUUAGGUAUGCCUUUUGUCUAAAAAACUACACCCAGUCGUAUCAACGAUUUAUGGACACACUUUUCAGAGACUUCGUCUUCGUCUACAUGGAUGGCAUUCUGGUAUUCUCGGACGAUGAAGACUAAUAUCUAGAACACAUACACAUUGAACGCUUAGAAGACAACAACUUUAUUAUCAAUCUCAAAAACUGCCUGUUCAACCAAACGGAAAUAAACUUCCUGGGUUACACCAUUAAUGAACAUGGUUACAUUCCAACGUGCGUACGAGUUGAUGCCAUUAAAGGAUAUCAGAAACCUAAAACUAUCGCUGAACUUCGCAGAUUUCUUGGCAUGAUCAACUAUCAUUGCUGUAUACUUCAGGCAGUUCAGAUCAUAUUGUUUGUCAACAGUUACCUUAAAGUGUCAAUAAAAAAUGAUAUCACCAAGAUCGCAUGGACUCCUGAAGUCAAUGAGGCAUUUGAAAUAUGCAAAAAUACUCGCAACAAUUAUUUUGCUCUCUUUUCCGUUUUCUAACGAACCAAUGACUCUCACAACCGACGCAUUUGCAACUGCUAUCGGAGCUUAAACUAUAACAGCUGGAAGAUGAUACCUAAAAACACAUAGAGUUUUUUUCUGGAUAACUGAACCGGACAUAACAGAAAUAUAGCACAUACGAUUGUGAACUUCUUGCUAUUUUUGCAUCAGUCAAAUUUUUGCAUCACUUGAUUGAUUUCCGUCAAUUUGUCAUAAAAACGGACAAUAAACCACCUACUUUUGUCUUCAGAUAUAAACUGGACCAAAUAUCGGAACGUCAACUACUAUAGCUCAAAUACAUCUCACAAUUUUUCACUGACUUAGUUAUGUGAAGGGUGAUGAUAACACAGUCACAGAUACAUUAUCCUGCAUUAAUACUAUAAACAUGCCAUCUAUUUUCACAUCUCUUGAAAUCCAACAAGCACAACUGAACGACAAUGAUCUAGCUGAUCUGAUCAGAGACACAACUUCAUUGAAUCUACGAAAACUCAUACUAGAACCAGGAAUGAACAUGUAUUGUGACAUUUUGUCAGGAUUCAUCAGACCAUUCUUACCAGAAUCAUUACGCAAGACAGUUUUCAAUGUCAUUUAUAAUCUUUCAUAUCAUAGCGGCUGGACCACAUCUCUAAAUUUAUGUGAAAAAUACGUUUUGGCCUGAUCCUUAAGAAAGCACUCAAAUCGUCCAGAGAAUAUCUUGCUUGCCAAAGAGCAAAAAUUCACCGUCACAAUAAGAUCAAACCAAUCCACGUACACAUACUUGAUAACCGCUUUAACCAUAAUCGCUUGGACAUCAUCUUUCUACUGAAGGUCAAACACUACCGACACUACUUAACCCUUUCGCGACGGCGCACCUGUACCAUACUUUGUUGUCUUCCGCGAAAGCGCAGUAACACUUUCUGAGUAACACUUUGUAGCGAUCUCUACUCAUUAUUCUGCAAAAGAUGUCACUUUGCAAUAAUUUAUUUUUACUCCAAUAUUCAUCAAUUGAUAAUUUCUUCUCUCUAGACAUUAGUAAGCAAACAGCGAUAAAACAGUACAGUUCGUCUGCCUUUGUCCCAGGUUCACGAUUACUAUUAUCUCUUCGUCUCCAAUGAUUAGUUGUUUUUUUCAACAAUGAAAUCUAUCAGAUACGAAUGAUUU